CCUACGGGAGGCAGCAGUGGGGAAUAUUGCGCAAUGGGCGAAAGCCUGACGCAGCGACGCCGCGUGAGGGAUGACGGCCUUCGGGUUGUAAACCUCUUUCAGCUCUGACGAAGCGAGAGUGACGGUAGGAGCAGAAGAAGCACCGGCCAACUACGUGCCAGCAGCCGCGGUAAUACGUAGGGUGCAAGCGUUGUCCGGAAUUAUUGGGCGUAAAGAGCUCGUAGGCGGUCUGUCGCGUCGAGUGUGAAAACCCCGGGGCUCAACCCCGGGCCUGCAUUCGAUACGGGCAGACUAGAGUUCGGUAGGGGAGUCUGGAAUUCCUGGUGUAGCGGUGAAAUGCGCAGAUAUCAGGAGGAACACCGGUGGCGAAGGCGGGACUCUGGGCCGAUACUGACGCUGAGGAGCGAAAGCGUGGGGAGCGAACAGGAUUAGAUACCCUGGUAGUCCACGCCGUAAACGUUAGGGCGCUAGGUGUGGGGGUCCGUUCCGACGACCUCCGUGCCGCAGCUAACGCAUUAAGCGCCCCGCCUGGGGAGUACGGCCGCAGGCUAAACUCAAAGGAAUUGACGG
rnacentral:rRNA from 1 species